CCUACGGGGGGCAGCAGUGGGGAAUAUUGCACAAUGGGGGAAACCCUGAUGCAGCGACGCCGCGUGGGCGAGGAAGUACCUCGGUAUGUAAAGCUCUAUCAGCAGGGAAGAAAAUGACGGUACCUGACUAAGAAGCUCCGGCUAACUACGUGCCAGCAGCCGCGGUAAUACGUAGGGAGCGAGCGUUGUCCGGAUUUACUGGGUGUAAAGGGUGCGUAGGCGGCCCUGCAAGUCAGAAGUGAAAUCCAUGGGCUUAACCCGUGAACUGCUUUUGAAACUGCAGGACUUGAGUGGAGUAGAGGUAG
rnacentral:rRNA from 1 species